rnacentral:rRNA from 1 species
AAUAUACUUUAAUAUUCCA